GUGCCAGCCGCCGCGGUAAUACGUAGGUGGCAAGCGUUAUCCGGAAUUAUUGGGCGUAAAGCGCGCGUAGGCGGUUUUUUAAGUCUGAUGUGAAAGCCCACGGCUCAACCGUGGAGGGUCAUUGGAAACUGGAAAACUUGAGUGCAGAAGAGGAAAGUGGAAUUCCAUGUGUAGCGGUGAAAUGCGCAGAGAUAUGGAGGAACACCAGUGGCGAAGGCGACUUUCNUGGUCUGUAACUGACGCUGAUGUGCGAAAGCGUGGGGAUCAAACAGGAUUAGAU
rnacentral:rRNA from 1 species